GAGUUGCAAUGUUGACACCUUCGAACUAAUUCCUUAAACCUCUCCCAAGCUUCAAACACAGUUUCAGUAUCUUUCCGGUAGAAGUUAUGAAUUUCUCUUCUAAACUU
rnacentral:snoRNA from 1 species